rnacentral:tRNA from 1 species
AAGGCAAUGGCUCAACGGUAGAGCGUUAGACUCAAAUGCCAAAGAUCGCGGGUUCAAAUCCCAUUUGUGUUC